CCAAUAGCGUAUAUUAAAGUUGUUGCAGUUAAAAAGCUCGUAGUUGAAUUUUGGGUUUGGCCGAUUGGUCCGUUCUUGUAACGAGUACUGGUCGGUCGGGCCUCACCGCCUGGUGAUGCGUAAUGCCCUUUAUUGGGUGUUGCGAGUAGCCAGGACCUUUACCUUGAAAAAAUUAGAGUGUUUAAAGCAGGCUUAUGCCGGAAUACAUUAGCAUGGAAUAAUAGAAUAGGACGAUGAUUCUAUUUUGUUGGUUUCUAGGACCAUCGUAAUGAUUAAUAGGGAUAGUUGGGGGCAUUAGUAUUCAAUUGUCAGAGGUGAAAUUCUUGGAUUUAUUGAAGACUAACUACUGCGAAAGCAUUUGCCAAGGAUGUUUUCAUUAAUCAAGAACGAAAGUUAGGGGAUCGAAGACGAUCAGAUACCGUCGUAGUCUUAACCAUAAACUAUGCCGACUAGGGAUCGGGCGAUGUUAUUUCAAUGACUCGCUCGGCACCUUAUG
rnacentral:rRNA from 1 species